AAAUGUUGCGAAAUACAUGGUUAAUUAAUCUCAUUUACGAUAACAGUCUGGAUGAUGCACAAAUAAAAAAUGUUAUCUUUCACGCUGAUAACCUACAUAAUUUGCCCUCGGGGAAUUACCAAAUUUCUUACUGGAGUAGCAGUUUCGAUAAAUUCUUCUAUCAGCAUGUUCAUUGUGGUUUCUAAAUUCAGAAAUUGUGUAAAAUAGAGCAUUUGUAUUUAUUUAACAAAAACAUUUAAGGAUAGCCAUUAACUUCAUGUUAAAAAUCUGAUAAAAGGAUCAAUCACCCACAGGAGGAAGAAAAAAGUUCUGCAGAAGUUGGCCGAAUAGCGGGAAAAACUACCGAAAAAUUGUCUUUUAAGACGAACAUUCGUAAAUUGGAGUAACGAGAAUAAUCAACAACUCGGAGAAUAAUUUUAACUACAUGUUAGAUUAAAUUGUAAUGAAAAAAUAAUAUGCAUUCUUCUUCAAUUCAGAUUUGAUCUUUGUGGUCAAGGUAAUAAACUACUAAAGUAAUGCAGAAAUAAUCUCUGAUUGGUUUAUGCAGAUUUAUGGUACCACUGGAACAAAAAAGAAUGUGAUAAGCCCUCAGAUGGUUCCAGUUUGCAAUUUAUAUGUAAAGAGAGUUAAGUCUUGAAUGAUUGUUCCAUUAAAGCCCAGCCCAAAUUCCUGUAUCUAGAAACGGGAAAUUGUAGGGAUGGCUUUCCCCAAUUUUUAGUAGUGUAUUUUUACAAUUUUUUAAUGCACUUUUAUAUUCACUGAGUUUUUAUUGUGGUUUAUACUUAUUAAAAUCGUUAUAAAAUGUUAAAUAUGAAAUGUUUUUAUCCCUCAAGGGAUGAAAAGGUUUUUUAAGAAAAAAAUUCUAACCCGGAAAAGGUUUACCUUGAAAGUUCUUUUAGUAGGCGAACUAUAGACCAAAAGGGUGGUUGUCUCAUAAAUAUGGAUAAAUCAAUCAGAGAUUAUUAUAUCUUUUUCAGUCGUCUAUUGCCUUAGUCACUCAGAUCAAACUUGGCUUGGAAAAAAAUACAUGAGUCAUUUAUUACCCACACUACAUGAAACAGUCCGAUGAUGUUAAGAAAAAUGAAUAUUUUGUAAGAUUCCUGAGGCGUCCCCAAAAAGGUGCGAUCGCUUCGUCAGAGGUCAGUUCUGGGAAAAGCAAAACGAGUCGUUUUUAGAUCGGAAUGAGGUUUUCCCUCGAUUGGGAACGUUGCUGUAAAAUGAAGAGUUGCGGUAUGCGACAUAUACGCGGAACAUCUCGUACCGGACAGAUCGCACCUGAACAGGUACCUGUUGCCGCAUAUGGACCUUCUGGUUCGAAGUACCAGUUCCGCACAACCACGCUGACAAACCGUGAGACCAUCGUCACGCCACGGGAGGGCCUGGUCGCCUUCCUGAUCCCUAAGCGAUCCGACAUCGACACGAUGAUUGCUACACAACUGUCAUCAUUCACUUUCUUCAUAUGGUAUCUGACAAUUUUCGCUAAUUUUCAAAGCGCGCUCGUCAGUUCAAACGACCUGGUGGUACGCAGGAAGAAAGACAGCGCUGGCAUUCUUUGGCUUGUCGGUACUGUGGUGGACUUUUUUGGGUUUUAUCGAGGAUGUCGAGAUUAUAGAAAAUGUGAAAAUUCCGGUAGUGGUAAUUUAUUCAGGACGUCAGUCGAAUGAAUAUUUGGCUGUUUCCUCACCCUAAAUUCGCAAAUGGACCCGUCCGCACUCUUGUCGCUCGCUGGACUGGAAUCGUGCAAAUCAGGGGCGGAUUAGGUCGUCUCGUGGUAAUGCGACUACUUACCGCAGCAAGGCCGCAUGCAGGCGCCGCCACAGGGGACAAUUAUCUCCGAUAAUUGAAUUUACUUCAUCAGGAAUGAGCAUUCAUGAGUUCGCUAGAGAAUAAAAACUAGCACAUGCCAUCAAACGUUUCAAACAUGCAUUUCAUAACGAUGUUAGCGAAGUCGUCAGUCAACAUCCCGAGUGGAGUAAGAUCUGAAACUGCCUUGUUAUCUAAACGACGACACUGGUAUCGAGUUAAGCUCUGACAAGCAUCAGCGUCCUAAGUAGUUUCCGUUUAGUCCGAGUCACUUUUUGUUGUCAGUUCAAUGUUCCAAAUAAUAACAGCAUGUGUCGUGUGAA